UUAGUACCUAGAUAAAAAUGGCGAUUUACACAAACAAAUUCGUACGGUGCUCCCGGAUCGGGCCGAAUUUGACCGCGAUGGUGCGAAAUUUCAGUGCCAAUUCCAGCCGAAAGUGGUUCCUCCAUCCGUCGGUGAAAUAUAUCUGCCUCAUUGGGGGCAGUUUGGCCGCCCUCAGCUACGCCAGACAUCGCCGUCAGCCGCGAGUGUAUGCCCUCCAGCUGCGAAAGGACGAUAUCAGCGAGAAGGCCGUAAAACUGACAGCCCGUGAACGGCGCUUCAUCAAGUUUGCCUCGGUUGAGUUCGACGGCCAAAUCUACAUGACACCGCAAGACUUCCUGGAGUCGGUUGUGGAGCAGGAACCAAGACCACGACUCAAGCGGAAAUCGCUGACUCCGGAGGAGAUUCAGAAAUUGAAAGACAACACGCCGCAACUCAAGCAUGGAUCUUCACAACUGUUUCGCAGUUUGCGUGACAGAGGUAUCAUUUCUUACACCGAGUAUCUAUUUCUGUUGUCCGUUCUUACAAAGCCACACUCGGGAUUCAGAAUUGCCUUCAACAUGUUCGAUACGGACGGUAACCAACGGGUGGAUAAGGAUGAAUUUCUUGUGAUUCGUCAGCUACUUGGAGGAUCACUCAAGGAUCGCGAACUAGAUGAAGGAACAAGAAAAGCUUUACUCCAUCUCGUGUCGACCAAUGCCCAAGCUAAAUUCCUGUCCAGACAGUUUCGCAAGGAGCUGUCCGAAACGAGCCCCGCUCAAGACGAACAGCAGACUACAACAACCGGAACUCGCUCGUCGUCGGGUAGAAAAAGUUUUAUGGAGAAAAUAUUCAGCUUCGCAUGGAAAGGAAAACGAGGCAUUGAAACCACUGAGGGCGAGGAAAACGACGAUGGUCAUGAUGAUUACGUGGAUGACGAGCAGGGUCUACAGAGGAAACACAAGGUCGACACUACGCUGCAGAUUCACUUCUUUGGCAAGAAGGGUAACCAAGAUCUGCAGUACGAUGGAUUCUAUAACUUUAUGAAAAAUCUUCAAACCGAGGUCCUUGAGUUGGAAUUUUGUGAGUUUUCCAAGGGUCACGAGCGCAUAUCGGAGGUCGAUUUCGCCAAAAUUCUUCUGAGAUACACUUAUUUGGAUACCGACGAAUACGAUAACUAUCUGGAUCGUCUGCUGGACAGAGAAGCUAAGGAGAAAGGCGUUUCAUUCGAUGAGUUCCGUCAGUUCUGCCAGUUUUUGAACAAUCUGGACGAUUUCUCAAUCGCCAUGAGAAUGUAUACUCUUGCAGAUCAACCAAUUUCGAAAGACGAAUUUUCCCGUGCCGUGAAGAUUUGCACAGGUUCGGAGCUGAAUUCCCACCUGAUCGAUACAGUGUUUGCCAUCUUCGAUGAAGAUGGCGAUGGGUUGCUUUCCUACAAAGAGUUUAUCGCCAUCAUGAAGGAUCGACUGCACCGGGGUUUCAAAGUAAGUCACUACGAACACGUGGCUCAGGAUUAUUUGGAUGAUAUAGAUAAAAGCACACAGCAAGCCAACAGCUUCCGCCAAUUGUUGAAGAUGCGUUCACGCGCCUGCCGACGGCUCAGACGGUAUUUGAUUUAUUUUUACUUUCAUCCGGAUCAUGGAUACCAUCCGGAGCGAGACUUCCGAUAAGAGAGUUAUUAUUUGGCUUCGUAUAGGUUAAGAAAAACAUAAUUCGUAUUCUUUUUGGUUCCCACUCAGCGGUAAGUAAGUGGCUACAUUUUUUAAGAAUGCACCUUCAAAAUUUUACUACACUCAGGUUUAUGUAAGUGGUUUUUGUACUUUCGUACUUUCUUCAGACUAAACACCAACAUAUCAAAAUUUGAUCCAAAUCAGCUUCUUAAUUUGUUGCAGCUAAUCAGUCCAACUAAUUAGUUCAAUGUGGCUUUAUAUGUUUUCUGUUCUUUAUUCCGCGUUUCGUUAUUGUUUCAUCAAUCGAAGUCAAACGUAAAAUCAGAAGGUUGGGAAGCAUUCAAACACUGUCUCAAACAAGAGAUGAAACAAAAUGUUUGAAUUUAUACACCUUGUCCAGUAGUUGUAUCAAACGUAGUUGUUCAUCUUUAUAGUAGUGCGCUUGAAAAUUUUAAAUCUAUCUCUAAGCCAAACUUAUUUUAAAUUUAAUCGAAAUGUAUGUUCUAUCUAGGCAAUGCUCCACAAGAUUGGCAUAAUUAUUUAUCUGCAACGUAUUCUUGAAUCUAGUCGGAUUAUUCGGAUUAUUAUGAACUAUAGUAUUCUCUUCAUGAUACCAAAGCGUUUCUUUCCCAAUUAUACAAUGUUCAUCAUGUUAGAAGUCGCGAAUUUUGCGCACACGUACACAUCUCAACUCGCGUUUUAAAGGAAUGUUUCUAAUAAAGUGUUUAGUCUGAAAAAAAACA